GACGAACGCUGGCGGCGUGCUUAACACAUGCAAGUCGAACGCUGAAGCACCAGCUUGCUGGUGUGGAUGAGUGGCGAACGGGUGAGUAAUACGUGAGUAACCUGCCCUUGACUCUGGGAUAAGCCCGGGAAACUGGGUCUAAUACUGGAUGCUACAUGUCACCGCAUGGUGGUGUGUGGAAAGGGUUUACUGGUCUUGGAUGGGCUCACGGCCUAUCAGCUUGUUGGUGAGGUAAUGGCUCACCAAGGCGACGACGGGUAGCCGGCCUGAGAGGGUGACCGGCCACACUGGGACUGAGACACGGCCCAGACUCCUACGGGAGGCAGCAGUGGGGAAUAUUGCACAAUGGGCGAAAGCCGGAUGCAGCGACGCCGCGUGAGGGAUGACGGCCUUCGGGUUGUAAACCUCUUUCAGCAGGGAAGAAGCCACAAGUGACGGUACCUGCAGAAGAAGCGCCGGCUAACUACGUG
rnacentral:rRNA from 1 species